UUCAUGCAGAAAAGCAUUUUCACAAACAGCAUAGGGAAAGUCACUCAAAGAUGAAGCAAAAACAUGUUUUGUCUCUUUCUCACCUUGUAUGCUGAUAUUGUCUGCUCAUAUAAUUACAGUUUACAAUACAGUGCAUACAGGCUCAAACUGCAAAACUCUGCAUAAGCUGACACCUUGAUAUCAAUCAGCAGCUAAAACAUAAUUUUAAUGUACUGCAGCUGUUAUUAUCUGCACUCAGAUCCUGAAUAUGAUAGACGAGAACAAGGUGAAAUAGCACUUGGAUAGGCUAUCAGGGGACAGAAUAUUUUUAAAAAUUCAGAAUGGUGCUUGUAAAGUCUCAGCAAACUGAAGAGAAAGAAAAAAGUGGAUGGGAAAUCAUUAUCUCUGAUCAUAAAUGAAUGAAAUUAUUGAAACCUCAUCUAUGAUUGAAUACAUUUAUAUCUGCAGAUUCUUGUUGUGGUAUGUGUCAAUUAUACCUACCUUCUUUGUUGUCACAGAUGUU
rnacentral:lncRNA from 11 species